CCGCAGGAAACUUCCAGGGAUAUAGUGUGCAUAAUUCACUACUACAUCGUAAAGGAAGAUAUUCUGCGCCUGGCAAGGAAUUCCCCUGCCUUGAAUCUCCCAGACGCGCGUAUCCAGAUUCUACCAGAUCUAGCGUGGCAGACGCUUCAGGGGAGGAGGGCCCUCAGGCCGAUUACACAGGCAUUGCAGGCCAAAGAGAUUAGAUACCGUUGGGGAUUCCCUUUCUCUCUCCACGCCUCACAUCAGGGAACACAAAGUAGUAUCACAUCUAUUCAAGAUGUUCCAGAAUUCCUGUAAGCAUUCGACCUUCCUCAGGUGGAGAUCCUCGUCUGGUAUGGCCAGGGGGCACAAGAGGCAGCACAGGGCUUGCCACAGCAGCUCAGAUGGAGAGGAACAUUGGAGAAGAAGAGGACACCGCGGAAACGACCACCACUCACUACGGUCUCUGGACCUCGGCAGGCACUUAACUUCUCGCAUCCUUCUGCUAUGGGACUGCACGCUCAUGAACCAGCUGCACAGCCUUUAUUACAAGCGGGACCGGUUACAACUCAGGGGCAUCCCGCUUCCCAGCUGGGCCACUCAGGGACAGUUAAGAACCUCUGCGGCUCCGGAGCCUCCUGGCACAUGCUGUUGUCUGCACUGGACUGACGCAAGUAUCGCACCCUACACUACCAGACUCAUUUUAGGGGGAUAGUACUGAGAGACACAUACUCUCUGAACUGUGGGACUUACUAGUGACUCUGGGCAGUUGGGUCUGGGGGAGUGGGGUCACAAUCGGAAAGAACCGGGGUGUGGUGGGGGAGUGUUUACUUUGCUUAGAUCACAAAACGAACACAAAG